AGCAGCCGCGGUAAUUCCAGCUCCAAUAGCGUAUAUUAAAGUUGUUGCAGUUAAAAAGCUCGUAGUUGAAUUUCGAGACCGGUUUAUUGGUCGUGCUUUUUGUACGUACUGGUAUUAUUGGUUUCUCCUUUCUGACGAAUCUUAAUGCCAUUAAUUUGGUGUUUUGGGGAAUCAGGACUGUUACUUUGAAAAAAUUAGAGUGUUUAAAGCAGGCUCACGCUUGAAUACAUUAGCAUGGAAUAACGAAAUAGGACGUUUGAUUUUAUUUUGUUGGUUUCUAGGAUCGACGUAAUGAUUAAUAGGGAUAGUUGGGGGCAUUAGUAUUCAAUUGUCAGAGGUGAAAUUCUUGGAUUUAUUGAAGACUAACUACUGCGAAAGCAUUUGCCAAGGAUGUUUUCAUUAAUCAAGAACGAAAGUUAGGGGAUCGAAGACGAUCAGAUACCGUCGUAGUCUUAACCAUAAACUAUGCCGACUAGGGAUCGGAUGAUGUUAAUUUUUUAAUGACUCAUUCGGCGCCUUA
rnacentral:rRNA from 1 species